rnacentral:lncRNA from 1 species
AAAUCUAAUCCUCACUUUUUAAAAAUUAUGCUCACAUUUUCUUUGUCCACAAUUCAUGCAUUUAUAUUAUUUUUUUCGUGGAUGGCUUAUCCAUCCAAUACUAUCUACAAUAUUUUAAUUAUAAAAUUAUUUUCUAUGUUUUUAUUUUUAAAUUUCUAAAGUAUAUAUAAAUGGAUGUCGAAAUGUAGAGGAUGAAAAGUUAAAAUUUAUUACAUCAAAUUUAUUUAUUUCUAUUUAUUAAUAUUUGAGAUAAAAACAAAUAAGUAAAUGAGGUUGAAAUUAAUAACAAAGCUCUUAUCAGGGGUAUUAUUGUCCGAUCAAAUAGCAAGUGCCAAAGAAAAGUGCCUCAAAUGUUGAAUGUGUCUCUGAAUGUAAGACAAACUCAGAAUGUGACCCAUGGUGUAAACAACUCUUAACUUUAUAAUAGGGCAAAUCUCCAAAAUAGCACAUUUCUAAGUUUAUAUCACAAAAAUAGCACUCAAGAACUAAAAUGACCAAAAUAGCACCUUUCUAAGUUUAUCCUUUGAAAAUUUUAAUUUUUUUUAUUUUUCAAAAUUUGAAAUCUUACCCUCAAAACCUCAUUUCUCAACUUUAAACCCUAAACCCUAAACUCUAAACCCUAAACCCUAAACUCUAAACCAUAAACCCUAAAGCAUAAACCCUAAACCCUAAACUCUAAACCCUAAACCCUAAACCCUAAACCCUAAAAUCUAAACCCUAAACCCUAAACCCUAAACCCUAAAUCCUAAACCCC